AACGAACGUUAGCGGCGCGCUUAACACAUGCAAGUCGAACGAGAAAGGGCUUCGGCCCCGGUAAAGUGGCGCACGGGUGAGUAACACGUGGGUAACCUGCCCUCGAGCGGGGGAUAACAUUCCGAAAGGAGUGCUAAUACCGCAUAAGACCACGAUCUCGAAAGAGGACGAGGUAAAAGCUGGCCUCUAUACAUAAGCUAGCACUUGAGGAUGGGCCCGCGGCGCAUCAGGUAGUUGGUGAGGUAAUGGCUCACCAAGCCUAAGACGCGUAGCUGGUCUGAGAGGAUGAUCAGCCACACUGGAACUGAGACACGGUCCAGACUCCUACGGGAGGCAGCAGUGGGGAAUCUUGCGCAAUGGGCGAAAGCCUGACGCAGCGACGCCGCGUGAGUGACGAAGGUCUUCGGGUCGUAAAGCUCUGUGGGGCGAGACGAAUAAGUGCAGCCUAAUACGCUGCAUGAUGACGGUAUCGCCUUAGCAAG
rnacentral:rRNA from 1 species